AAACAACUCUCAGCAACGGAUAUCUUGGCUCUUGCAACGAUGAAGAACGCAGCGAAAUGCGAUACGUAGUGUGAAUUGCAGAAUUCCGCGAAUCAUCGAGUCUNNNNNNNCAAGUUGCGCCCGAGGCUUGUCCGAGGGCAUUUCCGCUAGAGCGUCACC
rnacentral:rRNA from 1 species